AGAGUUUGAUCAUGGCUCAGGGUGAACGCUGGCGGCGUGCCUAAGACAUGCAAGUCGAACGGGCCUGAUUUCGGUCAGGCUAGUGGCGGACGGGUGAGUAACACGUGGGUGAUCUACCCCAAAGUCUGGGACAACUAGGGGAAACCUUAGCUAAUCCCGGAUGGUGAGGCUUCUCCUGUGAAGUCUCUAAAGAUUUAUCGCUUUGGGAUGAGCCCGCGGCGCAUCAGCUAGUUGGUGGGGUAAUGGCCUACCAAGGCGACGACGCGUAGCUGGUCUGAGAGGACGACCAGCCACAGGAGCACUGAGACACGGGCUCCACUCCUACGGGAGGCAGCAGUUAGGAAUCUUCGUCAAUGGGCGAAAGCCUGAACGAGCGACGCCGCUUGAGGGACGAAGCCCUUCGGGGUGUAAACCUCUGAACAGGGGACGAUGAUGACGGUACCCUGCUAAUAGCACCGGCUAACUCCGUGCCAGCAGCCGCGGUAAUACGGAGGGUGCGAGCGUUACCCGGAUUUACUGGGCGUAAAGGGCGUGUAGGCGGUUUUCUAAGUCCGGGGCUAAAGACCAGGGCUCAACCCUGGGUUUGCCUUGGAUACUGGAAAGCUCGACGGCUGGAGGGGGCAGCGGAAUUUCCGGAGUAGCGGUGAAAUGCGCAGAUACCGGAAGGAACGCCAAUAGCGAAGGCAGCUGCCUGGACAGUACGUGACGCUGAGGCGCGAAAGCGUGGGAGCAAACCGGAUUAGAUACCCGGGUAGUCCACGCCCUAAACGAUGAGUGCUGGGUGUCCGGCGUUUGCCGGG
rnacentral:rRNA from 1 species